UGCUACAAGUAUGAAUAAUGGACGAUAUUGACAUUAGUGGGUUUUUAUCAGCUAAUUUAUUUGAAAAGCUUAUUAGAAGCCUACUAGUUCCCUCUUGCUUGUUUUAUCGAAUGCUUGUGAAUUCUCCCUUUUGAAGUGUACAGAUUCCUAGUAAGGUCUGUGGAAGGAGGACAAGAGGUGCUGCCAUGGCACCAGGAGGUAAGCAAUCGAAUAGGAAGAGGUCAAUCGUUCUUGUAGCUUCAACAUGGGUACUGCGGUCAUCAUCAGCACGUCAACACCUUGUGCCUGAACAAUUUUCACCCAGUGCAGAAAAUAGUAGUGGAGGUAAAAAUGUUGUGCAGGAAGAAUGGGCAACAGCGGCAGACAACAGUUGUUGUCAUUAGAACUUGAACAAUCCAGAUGGUGCUAAUGGCGUCAAUGAAACCAAGACUGGACGGAGUACCGACCCUGGACAGACUGGUUCCAGCUCUGAAGUACCUCCACAAAGAGGUGGCCGGAAGAAGGCUACCAGGGGAGUUUUGCUUCACAAGAUGACCAAAGCUAUGGGAAGAAGGAUGCCCAUCUCUGUUGCUUAGGGAAACCUAAGGCCACAUGUACCGGUGCAAGCUGCCAAGUUUGGAUUAGAGGCUGGUGUUAUCGUUAGGUCUCAAGUUCCUACCUUGUCGCAUUGGAAUCAAUACAUAGAACAGACUGAGCAUUUUGAUGGCUUCAUGCAAAGGCUAUCUGGGAGGUUAGAAAUGGACACAAGUCACAAGGCAACGACAGAUGCUUGUGCUAGCGUAUUCAAGGCAGCCAUACAGCAGAACUGGUAUAGGUUGAAGCAACAUUACUUUGUUGGCGUCCCUGCUAAUGAUAUCCCUGCAACCUCUCCUCUCCCCACCAUGAAUGAUGGACAGUGGUGUG